GGACGAUUAGCUCAGUUGGUUAGAGCGCUACAUUGACAUUGUAGAGGUCACUGGUUCGAAUCCAGUAUCGUCCACAA
rnacentral:tRNA from 1 species